CUGCAGCCCUUGAAGGCUCUGCCUGUGACUCCAGGCUGACAGUCUAGAGAGAAGGUGGCAGGCUUCAGAGAAUAUGUCCUCCCUUGCUUCCCGUCCUCAUUAUUUGGAGGCACUCUGCUUCCCAGAGCAAAAGUUAAACAACACUUUUGCCUUGGAUCAGCCUUGUCCUCCACUACAGGAGAAACACCCAGGGCUUCGGAGGGCUCGAGUUCCCUGGGAGCCACGGAGAGUGAAGAAGCAGAUGCCUGUUUUGAAGCAUCACCAGCUGGAGCUUCCCUGCAGCCUGUGCGGCCUGGGAAGGGCCCCUGCUGUUUGGCGGCUGCCUCUAGAGCUGGGCUCUUUCCCGCAGGGGUCCAACAGCCACCACCCCUCUGCUUCCCAGGUCCCUUCUCUGAUGCCCUCAGAAUGAAGGAGCAAGAUGCCAAGGCCUCGGCUGUCCUCCCAGGACUUGGGGCUCCCCCACACGCCCUCCUCCACUCUCUGGAGCGCGUACUCUCCGCACCGAACAUGCACAGACGGGGUCUUUGCUGCGCAUUGAGGUUCCCCGCGCAUGCGCAGAGACCCAUCAGCAAGCGGACAACAGGCCAAGGCGCACUUGCACUCCAGCCCCAGGAGCCUCGGAGUCCGCCCCACAGAUGAGCCACCAGUUCACUCCAGGGUGGGUCACUGAGCCCUGUGGCUUCCCACGCCUCAGAUGUCCCUGUUCCCUGUUCCCAAUCGGUUUCACCUUCAUGACCCCGUAUGGCAGCUUCUCCACAACCUCCAGGAGCAUCUAAGGACAGCAUCGUCUUUCCAGAGGAGACUGCCAAGGACCACCGUUUGCUGGUCACAGCAGCUCCCACCCAGGGCUCUGGGCUUGGAUUCUGCACCCCUCCACCCCUCCUGGCUCCCAGGGAAACACAAACCAGCCCAGAUGGCUCAUUUCUCCUUCUGGGACAUCCUAGAGUAGGGGUUACCCAGAGGGAAGAGGUAGGGAGAAAUGGUCUUCCAAAUGAGAGAAGACAGCUAAGGAAUGGAAUCCAUAUGAAAGGGAGUGGCUUUGAAACAAGAAAUUGACUCAAUAGGAGAACAAAGUCCCUAUGUGGAGAAAUAUUAUUAUUAUUUUUGCCCCAAGAGAGCAAAACAUCUCAACAUUUCUGCCUGAAAUCAUCUAUCAUUUCUGAACAGGGCUUGCUGCUGUCCUCUCCUGGUCCCCAGCUCACUCUGAUCCAGAUGCCCCUCCCUUGCCUCUGCACUGGCCCAGGUUCAUUCCUUUCUGAAAACCAGCUCAUACACACCUGUUCCUGGCUCCCAGCCUCCAGGGUCUUCAUUUUGCUGAACCCCUUCCCAUGUCUACACUGUUUGAGGCUAAUUUAAUGUCCUAGUUGGUAUUUUGUCUUGAGAGAGUCCAUUGGUUGUUGUGUGUGAGCUGACCAGAAGGAGGCGCACAUAUCUUCCUACACUCAUCCUGCUCUCCUUGCUGGGGACCCCAGGAGGUGGAGAGAACCUCUCCAUCCUAGGUCCACCGAAGCUACUCUUCUCAUUUCGUAUAGCACAAUCUACCUUGUGGGCCUCCAAGACAUUUGCCAGGGCUUCCUUCUGUUAAGUGACUAUUGAGUUUAAAAUUUCUAUGUGUUAGGUAUGAUUAUCCCAGUGAUGCUGGGCAACUGUUCAUUUCCAUGGAUUGAGAAUAAAUAGAAGUUUAGAGUUACGGAUAUAACUCAGUGGCAGAGUGCUUGCCUAGCAUUUGCAAGGCCCGGGGUUCAAUUUCCAGUACUAAAAAGCAGUUUAAGUUGCAGUAUGAAAGAUCUAAGCUUAAAAUAUAUAUAUAUUUUUUAUUCUAGAGCUGGGCACAGUGGUACAUUGCCUGUAAUCACAGUGGCUCAGGAGGUUGAGGCAGGAGG